ACCUUGAGUUAUGGAAAUUUCUUGGUCCUGGUUCAUAUCACCUUGUCCGAUAGAAUACUAUAAACCUUCCAGUAAACAAGGGAGGACUCGUCCUAUAUUUGAUAAAGGAGAAGAACAAAGCUCUCCUCUCGUCAAACGAGCACAAAGGCGCCUCCUUGUGUAGAAAUCAUAUAAAGGCUAAAUAUGCUCCUACGUUAUGGACAAGCCACAAAGGAGUCACGGAAGUAUAUAAAAAAGCUCCAAAACCUUAUCACCAUCUGCAUUUGCCAAAGAUUGGGUGAUGGAGGAAACUCAUCUUGCUGGAUUAACCCUUAGAUUGACAACACCACACUAGCCUUGCGGUAUCCUCUUUUGCAUAGAUUCUCACAAUGCAAAAUGGCCACGACCAAAGAAACAUGAAAAGACGUUAACAAAGCUAAGAAAUGAAUCGAAUUAAGCCUUGACUUUACCUCAAUUGUAUUGUCUAAAAAAUCAGUCUCGUUGAAAUGGUACCUUGCAUUGACGGGGUCUUCCCCACAAAGUCUUUGACGAUGGAUAUGGAGGAAAAGGUAGAAGCAAUAAACCCCUCACUAGCAAAGGCAAUAUUUUUUUCUAUGGAGAAUGGUGCAUAAAGCCCAUUAGCACAACUAGAAACUUAUAGCAAAGAAUGUCGGACAUUAUUUCCUAAUUGGUGUCCAUUAUGCAAGAAAGAUAAUGAAUCACAAAACCAUUUAUUUAUGCAGAGUGUCACAACCAUACUAUGAAGAGAGUAGGUUGUGACCCUCAUAUAAAGGCAGAUAAGGUGGCAACACGGAAGUGGCGCCCAACUAGCCAAGCAAGGGCUGAGGUAGACAAGUAUCAUGAUGCAACUGAGGAGGACGGUGCAUCAUUUAACACAUCACUAAGAUGUGCAUGAAAACCCAAAAUGAGACAUAGGCAAGAAAGAGGUAACAGUGUUGACGUGAGUGUCAAAGAUAGGCUUGGUAAGGUCAGGUAGGGCCUUGGGCCUUAAUCUCAAAAGUCAGGGUUCUAGAGGACAUUCAGGAAUGUGGCUUUGGAGUUAAGCCCAUCCAUAUGAAGUAUGAAUGCUCACGAAAUUCGAUAUCAAUCAGACAUCGGAUGGACGUUUCACGACGUCGUUUGACUGUUCGCCAAAAUCACGUCUACUCCAGGAAGACUGAAAAUGACUCAAAACGUACCUUAGGGGGGCAUGAUGUUAGCUCUCCACCACCCCUGGGCCCUAUGGCCUAAGCGAGCUACCCUGUGGCACAUAUGUGUGUCACAGUGAGGGUGAGCGUUGCAAGAUGAGUGUCUCGGAUGACUUCCUUUGAAUGGGUCUUUCAAAGACAGUGUCAGACGACACGGAUGUGCCGAUAUGUGCCCCAGUCCAUGUGUUGGAGGUCGGAUCAUACACCUGCUAUCCUGUAUAGAGUCCGUAAAUGAUAUGACAUGGACACAAGAGGGUCCAAUACCUCGAUAGGCCCGGAUGGAUGGAUGUUCGAGAUGUCCUGAUGUUAUGAGAGACAAAUGGGUCCGUUCUUGAUGAGCAUGACCGAGCAAGCUAAGUUGGCUGAUGACUUUUCGGGACUUGGGAUGACAUCAUGACAUGAAGACCAUGUUAAUUGGAAACCCAGAUGAUGUUGGGACAUGACGUUGCUUACGAGAGACCUUGGUCCGGUUAAAGACAAGGUCGAGGCAGAGGACUUGGUCUAUUGUGGAGGCAAGUCAAAUUGAGUUGCAGAUGAUUGAAUAUGCACGCACGCAUAAACGACGUGUGUGGCCCCGCUGGAUGAGCUUGAUUACACACAAGUUGUGUUCGGUGGGUAAAGACAACCUCACCUAAGGCCCGAAAAAGCCACAAAGACGGACGACAAAUGAAUAUGGGGACUUGAGUUCCCCUCAAGGCUUGUCGUGAGCAUGUCAAGAUCACAACACCACGGCGUUGAAAAUGUACGACCGUGACAUGGUAUACACUUAUGACUUUUGGACAAAAAUUCUCAAUAUUUUUAGAUGGCGUCUCACUUUUUCUAAGUAUGCAAAAGAGUUAUUAGAUAUGACCUUAAUGAACUACACAUUUAAGAACGAAAAAGCCUUGUCAUGGACAAAUCUCAUUAGGGCUUCCCUUUUGGAGUCUAUGGAAAGAAUGAAAUCGAAGAGUAUUCACGGGGAAACACAGACAUAUACUAGGCUUUUUGAAAAUGUUGUUUACAACGUCAUUUCUUGGUGUAAACUUUUGCUUCCUAUAGUCAUACUUCCCUUGUUGUAUUGAGAAGGUACUUUGUAAGCAUCAUGGAUAACAUAUCCCUUUGGUAAAUUUCAAAUAUUAAUGAAUUUUUUUCCAUUGAGGAAUUAGUUUAUUGAAUCCAGAAAAUAUACUUAGCCGUCUGUGCACUUCUUAUUGUUGCCAAGGUGACCCCGAAGUUUUAUCUUAAGAGAAGCAAAAAAGUUAGUUGUAAUUGGUUUCGCAAUUUGGUCCCAUCACUUUGACUUUCCUUUACUGUACAAAAGCGCACACCCCACUUUAUAGUUCCAAGAAAUUUCCCAAGACAAGAUAUCAUAAAACGCAAAAUAACUAUAAGAAGGCUUCCCAACAAAAACUAAUACUAGAGGGUGUCUAAUUCUUAAAUUGUUCGGAAUAAUACUCCAAGAAGCUGUGCAAUAUUUAAUCAUCUCAAAGCUUUCUUUCCUCCUGGGUUGCUCGAAGAUUCUCUGUUUUCAAGUCUAAAGACCUCACAGAAAAUAGCUUUAACCAAUUGUUGAUUCCAGGAACUUUAGCUUUCGUUUGUAAUCUAUGCCUCAGAGACAUAAAAAUGUUGUUUUUAGCUAUUAAAUCAUAUACUUAAUAUGAGAAUCCAACUCGGGAAUGCUGUGAAUGUGAACUUAAACCAUGAUAGUUUCUACAUCUCAGGUGAUUGUGGAGUUCAUUGAGACUUGAGAGUUUGCAUCGACUACAUUUCUUUAGUUCUUACUUCAAAGUAUUUUGUACCAUUUUUGUGAGCCAUGUUAGACCCUGUUAGUCAUUAAUGAUAAGCAAUGAUCUUAAGAUGCAUUGGCUGAUGAGCUGUAUCAUGAAGCAUUGACGUUUUGGGAAAUAUAUGACAUUUUCU